rnacentral:tRNA from 1 species
GUAAAUAUAGUUUAAACCAAAACAUUAGAUUGUGAAUCUAAUAAUAGAAUAUAAAAAUUCUUAUUUACC